rnacentral:siRNA from 1 species
UGAGUUUAGGGUUAAAUGAGU